rnacentral:rRNA from 1 species
GCGCGCUUAAUGCAUGCAAGUCGAGCGAUGAGUGCUCCCUUCGGGGAGUACAUCAGCGGCAGACGGGUGAGUAACACGUAGAUAACCUACCCUCAAGACGGGGAUAAGCGGUGGAAACAGCGGCUAAUACCCGAUAUGCUCACAGUUUCGGGAGAAGGAGUGAGGAAAGGCUGAGGUGCUUGAGGAGGGGUCUGCGGCCCAUCAGCUAGUUGGUGAGGUAACGGCUCACCAAUGCGAAGACGGGUAGGGGGUGUGAGAGCACGAACCCCCACAAUGGGACUGCGACACGGCCCAUACUCCUACGGGAGGCAGCAGCAGGGAAUAUUGCGCAAUGGACGGAAGUCAGACGCAGCGACGCCGCGUGGGCGAAGAAGGCCUUCGGGUUGUAAAGCCCUUUUCUGGGGGGAGAGGCAUGACGGUACCCUGGGAAUAAGCGUCGGCUAACUACGUGCCAGCAGCCGCGGUAAGACGUAGGACGCAAGCGUUAUCCGGAUUUACUGGGCGUAUAGGCGCCUGUAGGCGGUUAGAUAAGUCGGAUGUGAAAGCCCCGUGCUCAAAGCAGGGAAGCCAUUCGAUACUGUGUAACUUGAGAGCGUGCAGAGGGAAACGGAAUUUCUGGUGUACCGGUAAAAUGCGCAGAGAUCAGAAGGAACACCGAUGGCGAAGGCAGUUUCCUAGGCCGUAUCUGACGCUGAGAGGCGAAAGCUAGGGGAGCGAACAGGAUUAGAGACCCUGGUAGUCCUAGCUGUAAACGCUGGAUGCUAGAUGUGGACCGGAAAGGUCCGUGCCGGAGUUAACGCAAUAAGCAUCCCGCCUGGGGAGUACGGCCGCAAGGCUAAAACUCAAACGAAUUGACGGGGACCCGCACAAGCAGCGGAGCGUGUGGUUUAAUUCGAUGCUACACGAAGAACCUUACCUGGGCUUGACAUGUAGGUGGUAGCGAAGUGAAAGCGGAGCGACCCUUCGGGGAGCCUAGACAGGUGCUGCAUGGCUGUCGUCAGCUCGUGCCGUGAGGUGUCGGGUUAAGUCCCGUAACGAGCGCAACCCUUGUCAUUAGUUACAAGUGUCUAGGGAGACUGCCGGUGACAAACCGGAGGAAGGUGGGGAUGACGUCAAGUCAGCAUGGCCCUUAUGUCCAGGGCGACACGCACGCUACAAUGGUCGGUACAAUGGGCAGCGCAGCCGCGAGGUGAAGCGAAUCCCAACAAAGCCGAUCCCAGUUCGGAUUGCAGGCUGCAACCCGCCUGCAUGAAGCCGGAGUUGCUAGUAACCGCGCGUCAGCCAUAGUGCGGUGAAUACGUUCCCGGGUCUUGUACACACCGCCCGUCACGUCAUGGGAGUCGGCAACGCCUGAAGCCGGUAGCCU